rnacentral:rRNA from 1 species
UACGGAGGGUGCGAGCGUUGUCCGGAAUCAUUGGGCGUAAAGGGCGCGUAGGUGGCCCGGUCAGUUCGUGGUGGAAGCGCGGGGCUCAACCCUGCGUCGGCCAUGAAUACUGCCGCGGCUGGAGCACUGUAGAGGCAGGCGGAAUUCCGGGUGUAGCGGUGGAAUGCGUAGAGAUCCGGAAGAACACCGGUGGCGAAGGCGGCCUGCUGGGCAGUUGCUGACACUGAGGCGCGACAGCGUGGGGAGCAAACAGG